rfam:Mycobacterium sp. YC-RL4, complete genome.
CCUCCAUGAUCUGCGGGCAGAUCAGGUGCACGUGGCAGUCGAUGGCGCCGGCGGUGACGAUCCGGCCGUUCCCGGCGAUGAUCUCGGUGGACGGACCGACCACCAGGUCGGGGUGCACGCCGGACAUGAUGUCGGGGUUGCCCGCCUUGCCGAUCGCCACGAUGCGCCCGUCGCGGAUUCCGAUAUCGGCCUUGAUGAUUCCCCAGUAGUCGAGAAUGACCGCUCCGGUGAUGACGGUGUCCGGCGAACCGUCGGCCCGGGUUGCCCGGCUCUGGCCCAUCGAUUCGCGCAG